GGGUGGUUGCUCAUGAAUCAUGAAGGACAUGAAUGGGAGAGAAGGCCCACAGGAGACCCCUUAAUGUAAGUGCAGUAGGUUGUGGAUACAAGGCUUGGAUUUCUCCUAUUUGGGCAUUCCCCAGGAUUGUAUGAAAGAUGCAAGAACUCACUGCCCCCCAACGUUGGUGUGGCUGACAAGAAAGAGAAGAUGCAGCCAGCCACGGCGCUUGAGAAAGCAGGAAUAAGAAGUGUUGGAAGAAGACCUAAUCAACAUUUCAAGGUGAGGGGAUAGAAGACCAGAUAAUUGAUAGAA
rnacentral:lncRNA from 1 species